AUUGAACGCUGGCGGCAGGCCUAACACAUGCAAGUCGAACGAGUGGCGGACGCGUGAGUAUUGUCUGUGAAACUGCCUGCUGUCGGGGGAUAACUACUGGAAACGGUAGCUAAUACCGCAUACCCUCAGAUGUGCCCAGAUGGGAUUAGCUAGUUGGUGGGGUAACGGCUCACCAAGGCGACGAUCCCUAGCUGGUCUGAGAGGAUGACCAGCCACACGUGAACUGAGACACGGUCCAGACUCCUACGGGAGGCAGCAGUGGGGAAUAUUGCACAAUGGGCGAAAGCCUGAUGCAGCCAUGCCGCGUGUAUGAAGAAGGCCUUCGGGUUGUAAAGGACUUUCAGCGGGGAGGCGUUACCCGCAGAAGAAGCACCGGCUAACUCCGUGCCAGCAGCCGCGGUAAUUC
rnacentral:rRNA from 1 species